rnacentral:rRNA from 1 species
GAUGAACGCUGGCGGCGUGCCUAAUACAUGCAAGUCGAGCGAACAGACGAGGAGCUUGCUCCUCUGACGUUAGCGGCGGACGGGUGAGUAACACGUGGAUAACCUACCUAUAAGACUGGGAUAACUUCGGGAAACCGGAGCUAAUACCGGAUAACAUGUUGAACCGCAUGGUUCAACAGUGAAAGACGGUCUUGCUGUCACUUAUAGAUGGAUCCGCGCCGCAUUAGCUAGUUGGUAAGGUAACGGCUUACCAAGGCAACGAUGCGUAGCCGACCUGAGAGGGUGAUCGGCCACACUGGAACUGAGCCACGGUCCAGACUCCUACGGGAGGCAGCAGUAGGGAAUCUUCCGCAAAGGGCGAAAUCCUGACGGAGCAACGCCGCGUGAGUGAAGAAGGUCUUCGGAUCGUAAAACUCUGUUAUUAGGGAAGAACAAAUGUGUAAGUAACUAUGCACGUCUUGACGGUACCUAAUCAGAAAGCCACGGCUAACUACGUG